GGAGAUGUUGCUCAAGUGGUAGAGUGCUUACCUGGCAAGCAUGAGUCCCUGAGUUCAGUCCUCAGUACUACCA
rnacentral:tRNA from 1 species